ACGGGUUAGGUUCUUGGGAGC
rnacentral:miRNA from 1 species